rnacentral:lncRNA from 1 species
UCGAGACAAGCCCAGAAGACAGAAGACAAAUCGGACUUCUCACGCGCUCUCACGCGCCGGCGCGUGGGUGAAGGUGACGAUGAUUCCGGCGGCGCGUGAAGGUCACGCGCGGUGUUUUCCGGCGAUCGGCGAAGACAGACUUGGGCGGACGGAGGUGGUGCUUCUUAUGGUAUGGGCGGUGUCGACAAAUGGUCACCGGAAGGUAACCCAAACUCCAAACCUAAUGGAGGUUGACAAAUGGUCACCGGAAGGUAACCCAAACUCCAAACCUAAUGGAGGGCUCUGAUACCAUGUAAUUUAGAAUUCAGAAACGUAUAUGUCUUAUUCUCAUUGAGUCAAAGCAAUGUUACAUAUUUAUAUAGAGAAUAAACUAAACCCUAGAGACUAAGUAAAAUUACAAUAAAGGACAUAUGUAUAUAUAUAUAUCAUAACAUGAAGAAACCAACAGAAAACCCAUAAGGACCAGGAGCCUUACCACUAUCCAUAGAAAAUAACACCCUUCUAACCUCCUCACGUCCAAUAGAAGCCUAUAACGCCUGGUAACAGUCCUCACACCACAUAAACUGAUUAAUCAAGGGAGACAACUCCCUAUAGCCAAUAACCUGGGAUCCCAAACUGUUACAAAAAUAAUUAACGGCCAACUAACCAUCCCAUAAUGAGAAGUCAACCAGGAGCCAUCCAAAUCAACCACAGAAAGCACAAAAUUACGGCUCAUGCAAGAAUGAAUAAAACAAUGGAAGAAGGCAAUAUUCUGAUCACCAAGCUCCAACCACCAAAUCCUGGAUUUCUGGCAAAGAGAGGCUGUCACACUCCCUCUCAAACUACCUGCUAGCUUAGCCCAAAAGACAACAUGAAGCCGACUAUCAUCGUUCUCCUCUAACAACACCUACUGACUCUACUGAAUUCUUGAACCUGAUAUAUAUGUUAAUCUUAUAUAUAAAAUACCUUAUAUGAACACAACACAAAGGAACCUAGACAAUUCAUAGACAUACAUGAAAUAUAGCCCUGGAAUAACUCACUUAGCCAUCAAACCUGAUGGAGAGAUCAUAACUAGAAGGAUUUCCAUCAAAGGUUUACUUAAUCACAAUGCCCAAAGCUUACACAAACUGUAAAGUAUCAAAAUCUUGCAAAGACAUAUAUACACAUAACAAAACAGACUCUAUAAACAACUUUCUCAAAUACUUAGAUGUAGCCAUUAAAAUCUAGCAAGGCAUAUCAAGUCUAUUAAACAUUUUAACUAUCAUGAAAAAUCUACUUAUGUAGGGGACGCUGAUAGAACUAAGUCAUGCACAGCGGAAAAAGAAUCGAAUUUCUACCCUAAUUGCCACAAUUAACAUGUAACCAUAAACUAAUCAAAUUAGGGUUUUAAGAAGUAUUACCUUUGAAGCUUACAAAAGGUUUGAUGUCUUCUUACCAAUUCUUCCCGAGACCACCACUAGUACUCAACUGCUAUCCUCUAGACAAAGAACCGGGUUGUGGGACCCAAUUUUGGUGUAGAAAGUAAUGGAGAUAAAAUGAGAUUGGAAGCUUUCUUUUUUCUUUUGUUGAGAUUAUGAAAAUGAUAAAAGAGGCAAAAGUCCUUCAACAUUUGAAAACAUCUCUAUUUAUAGCCUAAUUACAUGCAAAAAUGCAUGCAAUUCAUUUGCCAAAUCUCAACACCUAAUGUUCCACUAACAAUUAGUGGAACUUAGUGGGCUAGGUGUCUAUAUCUCAUAUAGCCACAUAUCCCACUAAGAGUUAGUGGGAUUAUCCAACAAAAUGUUGGAUUUUCC